rnacentral:rRNA from 1 species
CAAUAGCGUAUAUUAAAGUUGUUGCAGUUAAAAAGCUCGUAGUUGGACCUUGGACCUGGACAGGCGGUCCGCCUCACGGCGUGUACUGUCUUGCUGGGUCUUUCCUCUUGGUGAUCUGUUGUUUCGGCAGCAGGGAACCAGGACUUUUACUUUGAAAAAAUUAGAGUGUUCAAAGCAGGCUCGACGCCGGAAUAUAUUAGCAUGGAAUAAUAAAAUAGGACGUGCGGUUCUAUUUUGUUGGUUUUUGGAAUCGCCGUAAUGAUUAAUAGGGACAGUCGGGGGCAUUAGUACUCACAUGCUAGAGGUGAAAUUCUUGGAUUUUGUGAAGACUAACUUCUGCGAAAGCAUUUGCCAAGGAUGCUUUCAUUAA